rnacentral:misc_RNA from 1 species
AACGCACAUUGCGCCCCUUGGUAUUCCAUGGGGCAUGCCUGUUCGAGCGUCAUUUGUACCCUCAAGCUCUGCUUGGUGUUGGGUGUUUGUCCUCUCCUCUGCGUUUGGACUCGCCUUAAAGCAAUUGGCAGCCAGUGUUUUGGUAUUGAAGCGCAGCACAUUUUGCGAUUCUAGCCGAUAAUACUUGCGUCCAUAAGCCUUUUUUAACUUUUGACCUCGGAUCAGGUAGGGAUACCCGCUGAACUUAA